ACCUGACUGGAUACGGGGAUACAGCUAGCCCAGCUCUGUCCCAAGAUCUGUAGAGGAAACAAGUCUUGCUGGAUGGAGCAGAGCUUAGUAAACUUGAUGGUUGAAAUUUCAGCCUGUGGAGAUACAAUCUGCCCUCAUCCUAACGUUGUUGAUGUGGGAAAACAAAGCUUGAGGUUGAGAUACUGACCGAGAGAAUCCGGUCGCCCCUCCUCAGCUCGCCGCUCAGGUCAGCCGGCCCUCCAGCCAGGAUGAAGGAGAC